CACGGGGUUUCACUCUGUUGCCCAGGCUGGAGUGCAGUCACUCGAUCAUGGUUCACUGCAGGCUUGAACUUCUGGGUUCAAGCAAUCCUCCCGCCUCAGCUAAGUAGCUAAGACUACAGGCAUGCACCACCAUGUCUGGCUUUUUAAGGUUUUUGUAGAGAAGGGAUCCAAAUAUCUUUCAAAUUCAGUUAAUCAUAUAUAUGCCAUUAUUUGAAGUCUCUACCUAAGGAAUGGUGCUCAUCACUUCUCUUCUAUAUAUAAUAGUAUUGGUUUAUAUAUUUCAAGGUGAUUUUAUUUAGCAUGUAGAUAUUCUUGAUGAAUAAAAUAUUCUAUUUUAUUUAGCACACAGACAGAGACAUGAAAAAAAUAUCAACGUAAAAGAGUACAGAGGGUCUGCAGCUUACAAUGGUUCACCUAGAUUUUUCGACUUUGUGAUAGUGUGAAACUGUUGCAAUUUGGAUGUACUUCAAAUUUUGAAUUUUGAUCUUCUCCUGGGAUUGCCAUAUGCAGUAUAUGAGAUACUCAACACUUUCUUAAAAAAUAGGCUUUGUGUUAUCUGAUUUUGCCCAGUAGGCUAAUGUGUUUUCAGCAUAUUUAAGGUAGGCUAGGCUAAGCUCAGAUGUUCAGUAGGUAGGUAUAUUAAAUGCAUUUUCGACUUAAGAUAUUUGCAACUUACAAAAGGUUUAUUGGGAUGUAACUCUGUUGCGAGUUGAAGACCAUCUGUAUUAUAAAAUAACUUUCUUUUUUGUAUCUUUGCAUUUUCAAUUUUACUUUGCCUGAUGUUUAUUUGCUCUUUCCCCACCACCUCCUCUCCCAACUCAUUGCACUGGGACUUUGCAUUUGCUGGUAUUUCUUGGUCAACUCCAUAUUUGCAAUUAUUGUGCGUCAUUUUGUCUUAGGCACAUAUCUUAUAACCAGCAUUUGUCCAGAUUUUGCUUUUUCAGCCAGUCCGAGAAAGAUUUGGUCUUAUUUCUAUUUUUGUAUUUAUAUAUCCAACUUUGAAAAUACAGUUGACCCUUGAUCAACGCAGGUUUGAACUGUGCAAGUCCAUUUUUAUGAGGAUUUCCUUCCGCCUCUAUCACUCCUGAGACAGCAAGACCAACCCCUCCUCUUCAGCCUACUCAAAGUGAAGACGAUGAGGAUGUAGACCUUAUUAAUGAUCCACUUCAACUUAAUAUUAACAAAUAGCAAAUAUAUUUUAUCUUAUGAUUUUAAUAGCAUUUUCUUCUCUAGUUUUAAGAAUACAGUAUAUGAUACAUAUAAUAUACAAAAUAUGUAUUGAUUGUUUAUAUUAUUGGUAAAUCUUCUGAUCAAAGGUAGGCUAUUAGUAGCUAUGGUUUUCGGAAGUCAAAAGUUAUACUUGGAUUAUUUGACUGUGCCGGCAGUUGAUACCCCUAACCCCCAUGUUGUUCAAGGGCUAACUGUAUAGCCUUUUAUUUUGCUAUCUUUUGCAAUAAUGAUCAAGUUUCAUCUCUUCUACAGCACCCUAUAUAUAAUCUCUGUUGGAUUCCAUUUGCUUCCAGUAAUUUGAUUGAUUGAAUGAUUUAUACAUCCAGCCUUCUUUGAAAGUGAAGCAUUUUUGACACAUAUUCAGCCUCUAGUCCCACCCUUCCCCGACUCCUCUUUUGUGCUGCUGCCUGUGUGACAGUCGUGAUCUUAAAAUGCAAAUCUGGUCAUGCCGUUUACCCAGCAGGUACAUGUUAAUAACAUCGAAGCUUAAUGAUCAAUGAAUCAACAGCUCAACACUCAGGUGUGAGUGCUCUGAUGGGAAGAAGGAACCCCUGUGAAUGGCUUUGGAAUGCAAAGGACUUUUUUUCCUGCAAUGCAUGCAGUGCUCUGGACCAUAUCAUCUCAACCCAGGUCAAUCUGUAAUUGCACAUCCUGAUGACGGUAAAGAGCAAUGACCUGGAUGCUUCCACAGCUUGUGCUGUGAGGCCAGAGUGGCUUGUGCUGCACCACGCUUAAUACUGCACCUUGGACCCUUCUGACAUCCCUCCCAGGGCUGGAAGUUUACAAUCCUGAUAAUGCCUCCAGUGGAAAUGACCUAAGAAACAUCCUUUGCUGGGCUCUGACCCAUGAUUAAUCCACAGUUAGAUUUAUUUAGUUCUGGCUUAAUUUAUUUCAGGUCUGUCGGUUUGCAUUCUUUUCACUGCUAAAUGUGCUUCCUCAAAGUUGUGAUGUGUUUAAUUUGACCCACUCUAUAAAUUAUAUCAUGGUAAGAAAGAAAAAGAAGAGAAAGUCAUGGUCAAGAGACAACAAUGUAAAAGGCAUAGAUAUUUUCAUACGGUGGGUCUGAUUUUCUCAGUGAGUAGAGAUGGUCUUCUUAGAAGUAACAUUCUCCACUGAUGCUCCGAGCCUAUGGUGACCUAGCAAAGGUGCAAGGUUUCCCACAGCAGUGUUUUUCAAACCAAUGUACAUACACAUCACCCAAUUCAGCGAGUCUGGGACAGAGCUGAAGAGCUGGCAUCUCCAACAAGCUCCUAGGUGAUGCUGAUGACUUAGUAGCAAGAACCUAAGUUACGAAAUCAAAACACCAGCUCCCCAAAUCAUCACAAUCCAUUUUAUUCCACAGCAUGUUUAAGGGAAUGUUAUUUUCAGGAAGAUGUUUGGGAUUAAAAUAAUUAAAAAAAACCUGGAAAUUCACACAUUUAUGUAUCUCUUCUUUUCAUUAAAUAUAUAUCUGUUUGGCAAAAAAUGUUAGACUCUUUUGUACAAAAACAAAGCAAAAAAAAAAAAAAACAAAAACAAAAA